CGAUGGUAGCUUGCUACCAGGCGUCGAGCGGCGGACGGGUGAGUAAUACUUAGGAAUCUACCUAGUAGUGGGGGAUAGCACGGGGAAACUCGUAUUAAUACCGCAUACGACCUACGGGAGAAAGGGGGCAGUUUACUGCUCUCGCUAUUAGAUGAGCCUAAGUCGGAUUAGCUAGAUGGUGGGGUAAAGGCCUACCAUGGCGACGAUCUGUAGCUGGUCUGAGAGGAUGAUCAGCCACACCGGGACUGAGACACGGCCCGGACUCCUACGGGAGGCAGCAGUGGGGAAUAUUGGACAAUGGGGGAAACCCUGAUCCAGCCAUGCCGCGUGUGUGAAGAAGGCCUUUUGGUUGUAAAGCACUUUAAGCAGUGAAGAAGACUCUUCGGUUAAUACCCGGAGACGAUGACAUUAGCUGCAGAAUAAGCACCGGCUAACUCUGUGCCAGCAGCCGCGGUAAUACAGAGGGUGCAAGCGUUAAUCGGAAUUACUGGGCGUAAAGCGAGCGUAGGUGGCUUGAUAAGUCAGAUGUGAAAUCCCCGGGCUUAACCUGGGAACUGCAUCUGAAACUGUUAGGCUAGAGUAGGUGAGAGGGAAGUAGAAUUUCAGGUGUAGCGGUGAAAUGCGUAGAGAUCUGAAGGAAUACCGAUGGCGAAGGCAGCUUCCUGGCAUCAUACUGACACUGAGGCUCGAAAGCGUGGGUAGCAAACAGGAUUAGAUACCCUGGUAGUCCACGCCGUAAACGAUGUCUACUAGUCGUUGGGUCCCUUGAGGACUUAGUGACGCAGCUAACGCAAUAAGUAGACCGCCUGGGGAGUACGGCCGCAAGGUUAAGACUCAAAUGAAUUGACGGGGGCCCGCACAAGCGGUGGAGCAUGUGGUUUAAUUCGAUGCAACGCGAAAAACCUUACCUGGUCUUGACAUAUCUAGAAUCCUGCAGAGAUGCGGGAGUGCCUUCGGGAAUUAGAAUACAGGUGCUGCAUGGCUGUCGUCAGCUC
rnacentral:rRNA from 1 species